rnacentral:lncRNA from 1 species
CUCUUUGCCCUCUCGGGGCGGAAGGAACGCGGCGGGCCUGAGACAGGGCUGGCGCGGCCUGAAGCGCCAGCCUUUGGCGAUGCUGCGGCCGGCCGGCCGGCUGCUCGGGGUCGGGCUCCUCCGCCAGCGUCGAGCUGGAGUCGCGCGCCGGCCCGCUGUGGGGUCGGGCGUCCGAGGCCCAGCCGGCCCGAGAAGUAGGCUCGGUCCGAGCUGGACGCUGCAGGUUCUGACCUCGAAACGGGGGCCUGAGUCCUUCAAGAGCCUGGGGGCGAAGAGACGAGAAGGCGGCUGCAUUUUGCUGAAUGGUGGUGGUGUUUGGGGUUUUUAAAAAUCCUUUCUCCCCGAUUUUCCUUUUUACACUUUUUUUUCUUAAAAAAGAUUUUUUUUUUUUUUUGUCUUUGCUCUUUUAUUCGUUGGAGUGAAUGCUGUCAGUGGCGAAAUAAAAUUAGGAAGGGGCCCUUGCCCGGCUGGCGCCUUCUCUGCGCGCUGACCUGCGGGCGAGGCUUGGGGCAGAGCUCGGCGGAGGGCGGAGGCCGCAAGUGGAGGGCCAUGCAGAUUGGAUCAAACCAGAAAUAAGGCUCUCUGUCCAGAAAAAGCCUUCACUGAAAGAAAUAACGUGCUUAAGGAAGGAACGUAUAAGUCAGGAAUUGAGCCAAGAAAAGCCUGCGAAGUAAAUAUUUGGCAGGGUCCCAGUCUGAAGGGGAAAGUCUCCCGAGCAGUUCUGGAGGCCAGAAUCUGAAAUCAAAGUGUCAACAGGGCUAUGCUCCCAGAAGCUUUAGGAGAGAAUCUGUUCCUUGGCUUUUCCAAUUUCUGGUGUCUGCUGGCAUUCCUGGGCUUGAAGGCACAAUCAGUUCAUCUUCAAUUGCCUUCUCUGGGGAGACGUGGUUGUGCACCCAUGAAACUGACCUUGUUUGGGAGUCAUGGACAUAUGCAUGAUAUUUAAAGCCAUGAGAUUGAAUGAGAUCAUCAAAGGAAUGAGAUCAUCAAAGGAUGGAGAAGAGGACCAGAGGCUGUGGUCAUCGGGAUGAACAAAACUGAGUAAGCAGAUGGGAGCUGCUUCAGGGAGUGUUGGGAGCUCAAGCUGUGUGAGAGGGGCUCAAAGCCCAGGGUGCUAGAUGGUGCCAGCUACUUCUGCACGGUUGCCAAUGGAAACCAGAUAACUGGACUCUGACUGAGGCAGACAUGCCACCUUACGUCUUCCAUGAGAAGGACCAUAGGUUUCUGGCACAGUCCAAGUGUCCAGAGGAUUGUCAACACUCGUAUCAAUGGGCCCGUAGCUCCUGGAUUCCAGGGAAGGCAUCACUCCUCGUGGCUCUUACCCUCCUCCUGGGGUCAGCAGAAAGGCUGGAGCAGCUCUUCUCACAGAAGGGUCAAGAGGUCAAGUGGAGGCGUGAGAAGCAUCUUCGGGCCUAUGCUUGACACUGGCACAUUGUCCCUUGUUGGCCUAAGAGAGUGACAAAGACAAGAAAUGGGGACGUGCACUCUAUACAUGGACAUGGUGAUAGGAGAGGGGAUUCAUAGCUCUGAUCUAAUCUCUCUCUCUCUACAUCUGCGUACAUGUAUGUAUCUACAUUUAUCCAUCUAUAUACAUCUAUCUCCACAGCUACAUGUAUAUACAUUACCUAUUUAUCUCUACAUCUAUCUAUCUAUCCAUCUACAUCUAUAUACAUCUGUCUGUCUCUACAUCUACAUACAGGCAUAUAUUUACACUUAUCUAUCUAUCCAUCUACAUAUAUCUGUCUAUCUACAUCUAUUUAUCUGUCUAUAUAUUUAGAGAUAUUCAUUUCUAUGUGUAUAUAAAGAGUUUUAAAAAAGGAUAGACCACAAAUUAAUGGGAGUUUUGUGAACAUGGUAGAUUUUAAAAUCAUUUUUAUUUUUUCUUUAAAUUUUUGCCAUACGUACCCUGCUUGGUGUAAUCUUAUAACAACAAUAAAGACAUUUUAUUGC